GACGAACGCUGGCGGCGUGCUUAACACAUGCAAGUCGAACGCUGAAGCUCAGCUUGCUGGGUGGAUGAGUGGCGAACGGGUGAGUAACACGUGAGUAACCUGCCCUCUUCUUUGGGAUAACGCCCGGAAACGGGUGCUAAUACUGGAUAUUCACUGAUUCUCGCAUGGGGGUUGGUGGAAAGGUUUUUUCUGGUGGGGGAUGGACUCGCGGCCUAUCAGCUUGUUGGUGGGGUGAUGGCCUACCAAGGCUUUGACGGGUAGCCGGCCUGAGAGGGUGACCGGUCACAUUGGGACUGAGAUACGGCCCAGACUCCUACGGGAGGCAGCAGUGGGGAAUAUUGCACAAUGGGCGAAAGCCUGAUGCAGCGACGCCGCGUGAGGGAUGGAGGCCUUCGGGUUGUAAACCUCUUUCGCUCAUGGUCAAGCCGCAGCUUUGGGUUGUGGUGAGGGUAGUGGGUAAAGAAGCGCCGGCUAACUACGUG
rnacentral:rRNA from 1 species